UACUAGAGUAGCACUCGCAUAUCAAUAAGCGGAGGAAAAGAAACUAACAAGGAUUCCCCUAGUAACGGCGAGUGAAGCGGGAAGAGCUCAAAUUUGAAAUCUUAAAGGGUUUCCCUUUACGAAUUGUAGUUUAAAGAAGUGUUUUCUGUUGAGGUUUUGGUAAAAGUUCUUUGGAAUAGGACAUCAUAGAGGGUGAGAAUCCCGUAUUUGACCUUUACUUUCAACUUUGUGAUACACUUUCAAAGAGUCGGAUUGUUUGGGAAUGCAGUCCAAAAUGGGUGGUAAAUUUCAUCUAAAGCUAAAUAUUGGCGAGAGACCGAUAGCGAACAAGUACCGUGAGGGAAAGAUGAAAAGAACUUUGAAAAGAGAGUUAAACAGUACGUGAAAUUGUCAAAAGGGAAGCGUUUGACACCAGUGUUGUUUUUCUGAAAAUCAAUUAAAGAACUGUUUAUGCUAAGUUGUUUAGACUUUAUCAGCUAACUGUUUAGUUUUGAGCUUUUCUUUAAUGCACUUUUCAGUUAACAAGUCAACAUCAAUUUCUUUUGCUGUAAAAAAGCUUGAGGAAGGUGGCUUGAGAUUCGUCUUAAGUGUUUAUAGCCUCUUGCCUAUGCAGUCGGAGAGAUUGAGGUCUGCAGCGUAUGAUCCUUCGGGGCUAAAUGCAUUUGUGCUAAGUUAUAGCAUUUUAUAGACAACUUGUUGACUAUGAUUUGUCUUGUAGCUUACUCGCUUAUGUUAUUUUACCUACGCUUAGGAUGUUGAGCGCAUGUCUCUCUCU
rnacentral:rRNA from 1 species